rnacentral:misc_RNA from 1 species
AUCAUCAAAUCCUAGAGGUAUUUCCACAUACAUUUCUUCCUAUAAGUCUCUAUAUAAAAAAGUAUUCUUGACAUCGCACUGCUGUAAAUUCCAAUCAAGAUUUGUUGUACAAGACAAUAAAAUCUUGAUGGUGUUCAUAUUUACAAUAGGGGUAAAAGUCUCUUGAUAAUCUAUCCCAUAUAUCUGUUUAAAUUUUUUGCUACUAGUCUGGCUUUGUAUAUCUCAAUUGAGCCAUCUGCUUUGUGCUUCACAGUGAACACCCACUUGUAUCAAACUGGUUUUUUUUCCAUUAAGGAGAGUAACAAGAUUUCAUGUCUCAUUCUUUGUCAAAUCCUUCAUCUCCUCAACCAUAGCAGUAUUCCAUUUUGAAUCAAGGUAUGCU